AUGGAGAGAGUAUGAUCCAGUUGCACGUGAAGAAUUAGCAUAACAGGAACCUCAAACUCCAUGGAAGAAGCAGCAGAACAAGAGGAGGUUCAGUGACGAGCAGAUCAGGUUGCUCGAAACCAUUUUCGAAUCCGAGACCACGCUCGAACCGAUAAAUAAGUUGCAGGUUACGAGAGAACUCGGACUCCGGCCUCGCCAGGCUGCUAUAUGGUUUCAAAACAGACUUAGCUCGAUGGAAGUUAAAACGGAUCGAGCAAGAUUACAUAACACUCAGAGCUGAUUACGACAAAUUAACAUCAAGAUUCGAUUCCAUGAAAAAAGAGAAAGUCUUUAAUUCUACAUUUCAAGAAGCUUAGCUUAUUGGUUGCUGAACCUCAUG